rnacentral:rRNA from 1 species
AACGUAGGAGACAAACGUUAUCCGGAGUUACUGGGCGUAAAGGGCGUGCAGGCGGUUUGCUAAGUCUGGCGUGAAAUAUUUCGGCUUAACCGGGAUAUGUCGUCGGAGACUGGCAGACUAGAGGGUGAUAGAGGCGUGUGGAAUUCCGGGUGUAGUGGUGAAAUGCGUAGAGAUCCGGAGGAACACCAGUGGCGAAGGCGACACGCUGGGUCAUACCUGACGCUGAUACGCGACAGCAUGGGGAGCAAACGGG